rnacentral:rRNA from 1 species
CUCGUAGGCGGUUCGGUAAGUCGGGUGUGAAACCUCCAGGCUCAACCUGGAGACGCCACCCGAUACUGCCGUGACUAGAGUCCAGUAGGGGAGCGUGGAAUUCCUGGUGUAGCGGUGAAAUGCGCAGAUAUCAGGAGGAACACCAGCGGCGAAGGCGGCGCUCUGGGCUGGAACUGACGCUGAGGAGCGAAAGCGUGGGGAGCGAACA